rnacentral:miRNA from 1 species
UUGGUUACAUAAAUUGCA